ACCGACAUCACCAUGGCAACUGAAGGUUUGUCCUAGGUGACUAGAGUUAUUUCCCUUACAUCAUAUACAAGCUGCAGCCAUGUUCCACAUCUGAAAAUACUUCUCAUCAUCCAGUGAUGCCAGGUUCUAAAUCAACUGACCCUUGUAAAAAACUAGCUUGCCAAAUCCAGUCAUGCCUACAGG
rnacentral:lncRNA from 1 species